rnacentral:rRNA from 1 species
CAGUCGCCGCGGGAAAACGGAGGGGGCUAGCGUUGUUCGGAAUUACUGGGCGUAAAGCGCACGUAGGCGGCUUGGUAAGUUAGAGGUGAAAGCCCGGAGCUCAACUCCGGAAUUGCCUUUAAGACUGCCGAGCUAGUAGGUGAGAGAGGUAAGUGGAAUUCCGAGUGUAGAGAUGAAAUUCGUAGAUAUUCGGAAGAACACCAGUGGCGAAGGCGGCUUACUGGCUCAUUCUAGACGCUGAGGUGCGAAAGCGUGGGGAGCAAACAGGAUUAGAUACCCGCGUAGUCCCUGUCUCUUAUAC